UGAUGUUUCAGGCUGGCCAGGCCGCGCAUCUCUCGGACGCGCAGAUCUCCUCCUGGAUCUGGGCGCUUUCGAUCGGCAUGGCUUUGACCA
rnacentral:tRNA from 1 species